rnacentral:rRNA from 1 species
UUAAAUUGAAGAGUUUGAUCAUGGCUCAGAUUGAACGCUGGCGGCAGGCCUAACACAUGCAAGUCGAACGGUAACAGGAAGCAGCUUGCUGCUUCGCUGACGAGUGGCGGACGGGGGAGUAAUGUCUGGG